GCGGUGAGGGAAACGGAGGAGAAUCACAGAGUGGUUUGGCUUAGAAGGGACCUUUAAGAUGAUCUAGUUCCAGCCCCCCUCUGUUAAAAACGAGACCAGACUGCUGGUACUAAAAGUGUUCUCAGCAUUUAUUAUAAGAAAAAGAACGGCCUAAAGCAAGGGGCUUGCGGGCCGAGCCGGGGCGGUCCCGUCGAGGAUGCUGCAGCGCCGGCGCUGGGUCUUCAGCAGCGAGGUCCUCGAUGUUCCAGGUGGAGCGGCACAGCUUCCCUGGGUCGGAUUCCCCUUUUUAACCUGUUUUUUGUCCCUUUGGAUUGGUUUCUUUUUGGAUCCUUCAUUUGCGAGAAGGUUCUAGGCGGUUGGUUGGCCCAUUACUGUUUUGUCCAGGUUGGCUCGUUUUGCCUGGGGAGUGCUGCACUUCACUGAGGUGUAUUAUGGUGUUAAAAAGCGCAAACAACAAGCAGGACAAAAAAGCCGAAAGCAACUUGAUUUAAGAAGAACAGGGAGAUUAGUGCAGGAGCAGUGAUGGUGGCGAGGGUCAGACACAGCCCGGGGAUCUCUCACCACGGCCGCAGUGCCAGCUCGGGAUCACAAAGAAAUGGACAUAUGUGGUAAUAUGAAGGAGACAGAAAGAAAGGUUGGUCAUUGUCACUACACAGAAUAUAAUUUUGAAGAGGGUACUGACAGC